GAUAAACGCCAGCGGCAGGCUUAACACAUGCAAGUCGAGGGGCAGCAUAGAUUGUAGCAAUACAAUUGGUGGCGACCGGCGCACGGGUGCGUAACGCGUAUGCAACCUACCCGUCACAGGGGGAUAAUCCGGAGAAAUCUGGUCUAAUACCCCAUAACAUAUGGAUCGGCAUCGGUUCAUGUUGAAAUUUUCGGAGGUGACGGAUGGGCAUGCGUAGCAUUAGCUUGUUGGUGAGGUAACGGCUCACCAAGGCGACGAUGCUUAGGGGGACUGAGAGGUUUGCCCCCCACACUGGAAAGGAGACACGGGCCAGACUCCUACGGGAGGCAGCAGUGAGGAAUAUUGGUCAAUGGGCGCAAGCCUGAACCAGCCAUGCCGCGUGCAGGAUGACGGCUCUAUGAGUUGUAAACUGCUUUUGUACGAGGGUAAUGUGGGUUACGUGUACCCUUUUGAAAGUAUCGUACGAAUAAGGAUCGGCUAACUCCGUGCCAGCCGCCGCCGUAA
rnacentral:rRNA from 1 species